rnacentral:lncRNA from 1 species
ACUAUGAAGUCUUUCAAAGGUUCGUCUAACAAGUUAGGGCCGCUUGGUUUCGGUAGUCAGUCCGUGUGAUUCUACCCCGUAGGGGAUCCACGGUCUGCUAUCCCCCAUUUGCGCCACACGGGUAACCUCUAACAAGCUAGAAAAAUUACUUAUACUUGACUAAAGCCAGAGCCAUUAUAGCCCUCAUGGUUGCACUUUCAUCCCGGUUAUCACUUACGAAUAAAUCCUCAAGUUGCUAAAAAGUCAUUAUUAUCAUUUGUUGCUUUAUAUUAAUCUAGUCACAAGAUCAUAGUCAUAGAAUUAAAACCCAAAUGCUAUACUUGCCUUGAUCCAAUUGCUCCUGCUGGUCCUGCUGAUCUUACUUGCUUCCAAGGCUCUCAUCUUGAUCACCGAAGUAAUGCCCACUGUCUAAUCUCGAUCAUCGAUUAUCGACACACAAGCAUUCAAGGCUACACAUACACAAAGCAAACAAAGCUACAAUUAGAACAGUACACCAGCAGUAAAUAAAUUUAAAUAAAAGUUUCCAAAAUCAUCUACACGUUGCUACGAUCACGUCAAUGAGAAAUUCACGGAAAACGGAGUUACGACAUGAAAUCUACGCAUUAAACGGGACUGCGAAGGCUAUCUACGGACUUGUAUUUAACUAGGAAAUCUAACAGUGGUGAACCUAGAAAACAAUGGUACCAACGCGAAGCUUAUGAAAUUAUAAAACUAAAGCAACUUGAACGGAUCGAAUCGGAGCUAAAACAGAGAAGAUAUGAAUUUUCUAAGAUUUUCUUUAGAAAAGUAAUUAAUUAAAUAGGGUCACAAAAUUAAAAUAUUUCAAACUGAUGAACCAAGAUUACUAACAUGUAGAUCUCGCGAAAACGAAUCUAACGCAAUUUGAACGGGUCAAAUCGGAGCUAAAACGAAUAUUUUAUGGCCAAAACAUUGCAGUGGCAAUUCUGUAAUUAAGUUGAAGUCGUAAAUGAAAUUUAAAUCAAAUUUCAAUCUGGAUCUGGAGUUUGCCGAGGACUGCGGGUUCUAUAUCUAUGAAGUCGAGGGGCUCUUUAAUAAAAAUCCCCGCGAAGGGGUAAGUUCUAAUCAUGGUCGUUGGAUCAAGCUUGGAUGCGCAUGAUUAAAAGAAAAAAAAAAGAAAAAGAGAGAGAGAGAGGGAGGGGGCGGUUGGAGGAAGAAGAAGUUGCUGACGGGUGGGUCCCACAUGGCAGAGAGAGAAAGGGAAAGGAGAAGGCGGGCUGGCAGUUGCUGCGCGAGUUGGGCCGGGCUGGAAUGAGAGAGAGGGGGAGGGAAUAGGAUUUUUCUUUUUAUUUUUCAAUAAAUUUUCAAAGCUCAUUUUUUAAAUUUGAAUUUGAAUAAAUUCUCUUUGCAAAACUUCACACAUCACAAAAAUGAAUGUUGCAGCAUGUAUGCAUCAAUAUAUUUCUAAUCUUACGGUAAAUUUUAAUUUCCCAAAAAAUUAUUAUUUUUCCUAUAUUUUGAUGCUCACAAAAUUGACUCAAUAAAUCAAAUUCAACUAUUUAAAACAAGGGAAUUUUUAGGGUGUUACAAUUCUACCCCCUUAAAAUGAAUCUCGUCCUCGAGAUUCGAAAGAGGCUCAGAUCCUCUGAGAGAAACAGGAAAAUAUCUUGAUAAUCCUUUCAACUUCACAACUUGCAUACCAAACUUAAACACUUGUCUCAAGGUCACACCUCGUGAACAACAUUUCCAUUGAAUAACUAUUAUUCAUAGUUGACCGAAGUCCAUCUUGACUACUAAUCCUCUUAUCUUACAACUCCAAGAGACAUAGAAACUUAAUAUGCAUUUACUUCAUCAGGUAGGAGUGGACCACCAUGAUACUCAAUUCUUUUUCCUGACGGUGCUGUUAAGAGCAUUUUGUACUAGAUACCAUAGAUCACUCCUUUGUGUGCACACAACCAUCCAUUACCAAGGACCAAGGGAAUACCAAGCGACUCUAGCACAAUGAGGUUUACAGUGAAGUUUUCCUUGUUUAUGACCAGAUUGAUAUUUGAGCACACCUGAUCUGCUUGUAUUUCUCCCACUGGGGUUUGAACUAGUAAAGGCU